rnacentral:rRNA from 1 species
UACGUAGGUGACAAGCGUUGUCCGGAUUUACUGGGCGUAAAGGGCGUGCAGGCGGUCUGUUAAGUGCAGGGUGAAAGCUCCCGGCUCAACUGGGAGAGGUCCUUGCAUACUGGCGGACUUGAGGGGGGUAGAGGAAAGUGGAAUUCCCGGUGUAGUGGUGAUAUGCGUAGAUAUCGGGAGGAACACCUGUGGCGAAGGCGGCUUUCUGGGCCCUACCUCGACGCUGAGA